UACGAGGGGGGCAAGCGUUGUUCGGAAUUAUUGGGCGUAAAGGGCGCGUAGGCGGUUUGACAAGUCUGAUGUGAAAUCUCUGGGCUCAACCCAGAGUCUGCAUUAGAAACUGUCGGGCUUGAGUAUGGGAGAGGUGAGUGGAAUUUCCAGUGUAGCGGUGAAAUGCGUAGAUAUCGGAAGGAACACCUGUGGCGAAAGCGGCUCACUGGACCAUAACUGACGCUGAGGCGCGAAAGCUAGGGGAGCAAACAGG
rnacentral:rRNA from 1 species